rnacentral:rRNA from 1 species
UGCUAGUCGAGCGCUUCCUAGCCAAUUUGGGAGCGCGGCGCACAGCUCAGUAACACGUGGCUAACCUGCCCUUGGGACGAGGACACCCCCGGGAAACUGGGGCUAAUCCUCGAUAGGUGAAGAACUCUGGAAUGAGUCUCCACCCAAAAGACGCUUACGCUAUGCUUGUAGGCGCCGCCCAAGGAUGGGGCCGCGACCGAUCAGGUUGUUGGUGAGGCAACGGCUCACCAAGCCUUUUACCGGUGCGGGCCGUGGGAGCGGGAGCCCGGAGAUGGGCACUGAGACAAGGGCCCAGGCCCUACGGGGCGCAGCAGUCGCGCAAACUUUGCAAUACACGAAAGUGUGACAGGGCUAUCCCGAGUGCCGUCCGCUGAGGAUGGCUUUUACCCAGUCUAGAACGCUGGGGGAAUAAGGAGAGGGCAAGUCUGGUGUCAGCCGCCGCGGUAAUACCAGCUCUCCGAGUGGUGUGGAUGUUUAUUGGGCCUAAAGCAUCCGUAGCUGGCCAAGUUAGUCCCUUGUUAAACCCACCGAAUUAAUCGUUGGAUUGCGGGGGAUACUGCUCGGCUAGGGGACGAGAGAGGCAGACGGUAUUUUCGGGGUAGGGGUGAAAUCCUAUAAUCCCGGGAAGACCACCAGUGGCGAAGGCUGUCUGCUAGAACGCGCCCGACGGUGAGGGAUGAAAGCUGGGGGAGCGAACCGGAUUAGAUACCCGGGUAGUCCCAGCUGUAAACGAUGCAGGCUAGGUGUUUGGACGGCCACGUGCCGUUCUAGUGCCGCAGGAAGCUGUUAAGCCUGCCGCCUGGGGAGUACGGUCGCAAGAUUGAAACUUAA